rnacentral:rRNA from 1 species
GACGGGGGAUGCAAGCGUUAUCCGGAAUCACUGGGCGUAAAGCGUCUGUAGGUGGUGAUGCAAGUCACUGGUGCAAAACUCUGGCUCAACCGGAGGAAAGCCAGUGAAACUGCAUGACUAGAGUGUGGGAGAGGUAGAAGGAAUUCCCUGAGUAGCGGUGAAAUGCGUAGAUACAGGGAAGAACACCGGAGGCGAAAGCGUUCUACUGGAACACAACUGACACUGAGAGACGAAAGCUUGGGGACCGAGUGGG